GGCCGCAGUAUUUUGACUGUGCAAAGGUAGCAUAAUCAUUAGUCUAUUAAUUGUGGACUAGAAUGAAUGGUUUAACGAAGUAAAUUCUAUUUUUUUUAUAUUUUUAUUUGAAUUUUGGUUUUUAGUAAAAAAACUUAAAUUAUAUUAAGGGACGAGAAGACCCUAUAGAGUUUAAUAAAAUGAUAUUUUAUGAAGUUUUUAAUAAAUUAUGUAUUUUUUUAUUUGAUUGGGGUGAUUUAAAGAUAAUUGAAAUUUUUUAUUAUUUUAAAUUAAUUUUUAAAUUGUUUGAUCCAUAAUUUAAUUAUGAUUAUAAGAUUAAAUUACCUUAGGGAUAACAGCAUAA
rnacentral:rRNA from 1 species